GACAGAGGUGCCAAGCGUUAGGCGGAAUCACUGGGCGUAAAGCGCACGUAGGCGGUCUUUUAAGUCGGGGGUGAAAUCCUGGAGCUCAACUCCAGAACUGCCUUCGAUACUGGAAGACUUGAGUCCGGGAGAGGUGAGUGGAACUGCGAGUGUAGAGGUGAAAUUCGUAGAUAUUCGCAAGAACACCAGUGGCGAAGGCGGCUCACUGGCCCGGUACUGACGCUGAGGUGCGAAAGCGUGGGGAGCAAACAGGG
rnacentral:rRNA from 1 species